rnacentral:rRNA from 1 species
GGACUACUGGGGUAUCUAAUCCUGUUUGCUACCCAUGCUUUCGUCCCUGAGCGUCAGUAUCGAGCCAGAUAACCGCCUUCGCUACUGGUGUUCUUCAUGAUCUCUACGCAUUUCACUGCUACACCAUGAAUUCCAUUAUCCUCUCUCGAACUCAAGACAAGUAGUAUCAAUGGCAAUUUCAUGGUUGAGCCAUGAGAUUUCACCACCGACUUGCUUGCCCGCCUGCGGACCCUUUACACCCAGUAAUUCCGGACAACGCUUGCACCCUACGUAUUACCGCGGCGGCUGGCAC